CAAGUCGAGCGAGAAAAGGGGGGCAACUCCCUGAGUAAAGCGGCGCACGGGUAAGUAACACGUGGGUAAUCUACCCUGGAGUGGGGAAUAACACCGGGAAACCGGUGCUAAUACCGCAUACGAUGACGAGGUCUUCGGAUUUUGUUAUGAAAGGAGCAAUUCGCUCCAGGAGGAGCCCGCGGCUGAUUAGCUAGUUGGUGAGGUAAUGGCUCACCAAGGCUACGAUCAGUAUCCGGUCUGAGAGGACGGUCGGACACACUGGAACUGAGACACGGUCCAGACUCCUACGGGAGGCAGCAGUGGGGAAUUUUUCGCAAUGGGGGCAACCCUGACGAAGCAACGCCGCGUGGAUGAUGAAGUAUCUCGGUACGUAAAAUCCUUUCGACAGGGAAGAAACCGCAAGGUUGACGGUACCUGUAGAAGAAGCCCCGGCUAACUCCGUGCCAGCAGCCGCGGUAAUACGGGGGGGGCGAGCGUUGUUCGGAAUUACUGGGCGUAAAGGGCGCGUAGGCGGUCUGCUAAGUUGGAUGUGAAAACUCUGGGCUUAACCCAGAGCCUGCAUUCAAUACUGACGGGCUAGAGUUCUGGAGGGGAUAGCGGAAUUCCUGGUGUAGCGGUGAAAUGCGUAGAUAUCAGGAGGAACACCGGUGGCGAAGGCGGCUAUCUGGACAGAAACUGACGCUGAGGCGCGAAAGCUAGGGGAGCAAACAGGAUUAGAUACCCUGGUAGACCUAGCCCUAAACGAUGGAUACUUGGUGUAGCUGGGAUUGAAUCCAGCUGUGCCGAAGCCUAACGCAUUAAGU
rnacentral:rRNA from 1 species